rnacentral:lncRNA from 1 species
GCUGAUGCUCUAUCAUCUAUGAUCAACACAGAAGGAGAAUUUGAAGAUGGGAGUGAGACAGAAAGUCCUACACCUGAAGAGUUUUAUGAUACGGAAGAGUUUUUUAGUAAUUUAGUUGAUGAGCCAGAUGUGAAAGGGGAAUCUGAUGCCCUUUUACCUAAAGACCAUGAAUUGGAUGCUGAAAAUUAUGAUGUAGUUUUGGGAAACUCAAAGCAAAAAGGAAAGCCACCGGAAGCUUCUGUGAAUUCAAGAAUUGCAAAAGCGAAUGUGGUGUCAAGGUGGAUUCCUCCUAAUAAAGGAUCGUAUACAAAUUCAUUGCAUGUGUCUUAUCCACCAACGAGGUAUAAUAGCACGCCACCUGUCCUGACGCAAUUGGGGGAGAAAAAAUCAGGUGAAGGUGCAGGGAAUGGAUCAAAGAAAGAUGUUAAAGCGGGUGAAUCUUCACCUGUUCGGCGAUCUGGUAAGUCUCUGGGUUCUGGUGCCUUGAAAGAUCUUGUUGGAAUUUUGGAAGAGAAAUCAGUGAAGGUUACUACUCCACCUCCUACACCACUGCCGCCAGUAGCAAGCAGGGCUCCUCCACCACCACCACCUCCACCACCUAGCUCAUAUGACAUCUAUAUCGAUGAUGAAGUUGUGCCUGCUUCUCCGCCUUUGCCUCCUAAACAGGUUGCACCCCCACCUCCACCUCCACCCCCACCACCACCUCCAAUGUAUGCAGCNNN